CUCAGAUGCUCUGCCGUGAGCACCGGUAAAGCUCAGGCCUUUCCCCCGGUCAUGAGCAGCAUGCUUGCCUGGAGCUCAGUGACAAAUACAGAUGACCAACAGACGGUCUUAAUGGGAGCAGAGCACAGAGCACAGAGCACAGACACAUACCCUUCAGGACCAGAGGAUCACUCACCCUGGUGCCCUGUGGCCAAUCCUUCAGGUUUGGAAGCAGAUUCUCUUCCUGUGCCUCAGGUCCAGCCCGCCCUUCUGCCUGGCAUAUCAGUGCCUACACCUCAGGCCGGUGCCCAGCCAGCGAGGUGCCACAGAACCACUGCCCAGGCUCUCAGUGCCUGUGUGGCCAGUGUUCUUCCAUACCUCAGAACACUCCGUGGGGAUUGUAUUUCACCAGUGAGGAAAGUCGAGGGAUGUCAUCUGACUUCCUCUGCAGUCUUUUCUUGGGUCCAGGAUGUCCCCAUCAUGGAACAGGAUGGACCCAACUGUAGCUAUUGCCAGAAGAAAGAUCUUAACCUCCAGAAUGGAGGGCACCCUUGUCCCUGAGCUGCCUUAGAAAUGGCCCACACUCCUGAUGACUUCUGGCCCCAGGUCUCUGCAUGCGUUGAACAGAACUCACCAUGCAAACACUUGGAUUUGUCCCCAACUUUAUCUGAGUUCCUCAAAAGAGAGGUUUCAGCAGUGGUGGAGCACCUGAAGGUGUCUGUGGUGCUCACUCUCUGGCACCUCCGUCCUCCCUGUGAGGGU
rnacentral:lncRNA from 1 species